AACGAACGCUGGCGGCAUGCCUAACACAUGCAAGUCGAACGAGACCUUCGGGUCUAGUGGCGCACGGGUGCGUAACGCGUGGGAACCUGCCCUUAGGUUCGGAAUAACUCCCCGAAAGGGGUGCUAAUACCGGAUAAUGUCUUCGGACCAAAGAUUUAUCGCCUUUGGAUGGGCCCGCGCUGGAUUAGCUAGUUGGUAGGGUAAAAGCCUACCAAGGCGACGAUCCAUAGCUGGUCUGAGAGGAUGAUCAGCCACACUGGGACUGAGACACGGCCCAGACUCCUACGGGAGGUAGCAGUGGGGAAUAUUGGACAAUGGGCGAAAGCCUGAUCCAGCAAUGCCGCGUGAGUGAUGAAGGCCUUAGGGUUGUAAAGCUCUUUUACCCGGGAUGAUAAUGACAGUACCGGGAGAAUAAGCUCCGGCUAACUCCGUG
rnacentral:rRNA from 1 species